GACACGGCCCAGACUCCUACGGGAGGCAGCAGUAGGGAAUCUUCCGCAAUGGACGAAAGUCUGACGGAGCAACGCCGCGUGAGUGAUGAAGGUUUUCGGAUCGUAAAGCUCUGUUGUUAGGGAAGAACAAGUGCCGUUCAAAUAGGGCGGCACCUUGACGGUACCUAACCAGAAAGCCACGGCUAACUACGUGCCAGCAGCCGCGGUAAUACGUAGGUGGCAAGCGUUGUCCGGAAUUAUUGGGCGUAAAGGGCUCGCAGGCGGUUUCUUAAGUCUGAUGUGAAAGCCCCCGGCUCAACCGGGGAGGGUCAUUGGAAACUGGGGAACUUGAGUGCAGAAGAGGAGAGUGGAAUUCCACGUGUAGCGGUGAAAUGCGUAGAGAUGUGGAGGAACACCAGUGGCGAAGGCGACUCUCUGGUCUGUAACUGACGCUGAGGAGCGAAAGCGUGGGGAGCGAACAGGAUUAGAUACCCUGGUAGUCCACGCCGUAAACGAUGAGUGCUAAGUGUUAGGGGGUUUCCGCCCCUUAGUGCUGCAGCUAACGCAUUAAGCACUCCGCCUGGGGAGUACGGUCGCAAGACUGAAACUCAAAGGAAUUGACGGGGGCCCGCACAAGCGGUGGAGCAUGUGGUUUAAUUCGAAGCAACGCGAAGAACCUUACCAGGUCUUGACAUCCUCUGACAAUCCUAGAGAUAGGACGUCCCCUUCGGGGGCAGAGUGACAGGUGGUGCAUGGUUGUCGUCAGCUCGUGUCGUGAGAUGUUGGGUUAAGUCCCGCAACGAGCGCAACCCUUGAUCUUAGUUGCCAGCAUUCAGUUGGGCACUCUAAGGUGACUGCCGGUGACAAACCGGAGGAAGGUGGGGAUG
rnacentral:rRNA from 1 species